rnacentral:rRNA from 1 species
UGGGGAAUAUUGGACAAUGGACCACAAGUNUGAUCCAGCAGUUUUGUGUGCAUGAUGACGUUUUUCGGAAUGUAAAGUGCUUUCAGUCGGGAAGAAGUCAGUGACGGUACCGACAGAAGAAGCGACGGCUAAAUACGUGCCAGCAGCCGCGGUAAUACGUAUGUCGCAAGCGUUAUCCGGAUUUAUUGGGCGUAAAGCGUGUCUAGGCGGCAAGGAAAGUCUGAUGUGAAAAUGCGGAGCUCAACUCCGUACGGCGUUGGAAACUGCCUUACUAGAGUACNGGAGAGGUAGGCGGAACUACAAGUGUAGAGGUGAAAUUCGUAGAUAUUUGUAGGAAUGCCGAUGGGGAAGCCAGCCUACUGGACAGAUACUGACGCUAAAGCGCGAAAGCGUGGGUAGCAAACAGGAUUAGAUACCCUGGUAGUCCACGCAGUAAACGAUGAUUACUAGGUGUUGGGGGUCAAACCUCAGCGCCCAAGCUAACGCGAUAAGUAAUCCGCCUGGGGAGUACGUACGCAAGUAUG